rnacentral:rRNA from 1 species
UGGGGAAUAUUGCACAAUGGGGGAAACCCUGAUGCAGCGACGCCGCGUGAGUGAAGAAGUAUUUCGGUAUGUAAAGCUCUAUCAGCAGGGAAGAAAAGGUCAUGAGUCUUUGAUGAAUGACAUAAAUGACGGUACCUGACUAAGAAGCUCCGGCUAAAUACGUGCCAGCAGCCGCGGUAAUACGUAUGGAGCAAGCGUUAUCCGGAUUUACUGGGUGUAAAGGGAGCGUAGACGGCAGGGCAAGUCUGAUGUGAAAGUCCGGAGCUCAACUCCGGGACUGCAUUGGAAACUGUCCGGCUAGAGUGCAGGAGAGGUAAGUGGAAUUCCUAGUGUAGCGGUGAAAUGCGUAGAUAUUAGGAGGAACACCAGUGGCGAAGGCGGCUUACUGGACUGUAACUGACGUUGAGGCUCGAAAGCGUGGGGAGCAAACAGG